ACCAAUUUCUAAUUUUCAACCUGCCAUCAUUUAUUAACACAUGGAAGAACCUUCCUUCUAUGUUCAUCGAAACAGCAGAAAGCAAAUUAAUAUAUGAAGCUGCACAUGGUUUUGCUCCUCAAUCGAAGUCCCCUCAUAAUUAAAUUUAUCACUUCUAUGUCUAUAUAAAUGAUGAUCAUGAUCCUAACUCUAACAUUCAAGAAGAUAAAUCACCUAGUUCAAUGGCUAGCAUAGUUCAACAGAUCAGAGACAGAUUCUUCUGCCUCCAUGAGCACGUCAUGGGUGGGGCUAACAAGAACCGACAAGAUAAAGGAGCUGCAGACGAGGAGGAAUCUCAGCUUGGCUUGGAUCAGGAAAAAGGAAUUCUUGAAGUGAGGUCGAGAGGACCAGCUCCUCCUGGUGUUAAAAGUCCUCCUGGUGGCAAGACCAACUGAAAACUUGUAAUAAGUUUCAGAUCCAUUUUCUCUAGUUUAACUUUCUAUUUAUGGACAAUUUCUACUGUGUUAUGGGUGAUCAAGACUCUGUUUCUUUGUUGCACAAAAUGCUCAUGUUUAUGUUAGCUUUAGUUA